rnacentral:rRNA from 1 species
AAAUGAAUAGACGGGGACCCGCACAAGCGGUGGAUUAUGUGGAUUAAUUCGAUGCAACGCGAAAAACCUUACCUACCCUUGACAUGCUAGGAAGUCCGCAGAGAUGUGGAUGUGCCCGAAAGGGAACCUAGACACAGGUGCUGCAUGGCUGUCGUCAGCUCGUGUCGUGAGAUGUUGGGUUAAGUCCCGCAACGAGCGCAACCCUUGCCAUUAGUUGCGACAUUUAGUUGAGCACUCUAAUGGGACCGCCGGUGACAAACCGGAGGAAGGUGGGGAUGACGUCAAGUCCUCAUGGCCCUUAUGGGUAGGGCUUCACACGUAAUACAAUGGUCGGUACAGAGGGUUGCCAACCCGCGAGGGGGAGCCAAUCCCAGAAAGCCGAUCGUAGUCCGGAUUGUAGUCUGCAACUCGACUGCAUGAAGCCGGAAUCGCUAGUAAUCGCGGAUCAGCAUGUCGCGGUGAAUACGUUCCCGGGUCUUGUACACACCGCCCGU